AAGACGGAUCGGAUGGCCGCCGGAAGAAAACCUUUGGUUUUCUUGAGGAGGAAAGUCCGGGCUUCGAAGAACAUGGUGCCGGCUAAUAUCCGGGGGAAGGUUGAAGACAACCUUUUACAGACAGUGCCGCAGAAAAUAUACCGCGCGCUUCAUUCUGCAAGGAAUUGAGGUGUGAAGUUUCGUAAGAAACUUCAAAAAACCGGCUUGCCGGUUUUCGUAAGGGUGAAAUGGCGGGGUAAGAGCCCACCGCUUCAUUGGUAACAAUGAAGGCAAGGUAAACCUCACCAGGAGCAAAGUUAAGCAGCAGAGGGUGUUCACCUGAAAGUCCACGAGCGUAGCGAGAGGUCUUUAGUCUGCGGGUAAACUGCUUGAAUCAGUGAGUAAUUGCUGAUGGAGAUAGAUGGUUAUCGAUGGUUUUUCUAUGAAAAACUAUUACAGAACCCGGCUUAUAGAUCCGUCUUUUUU
rnacentral:RNase_P_RNA from 1 species